GGAGGCCCCAAGCAAGGAAGGAAGGAAGGAGGCAGGCAAGCAAGCAGGCAGAGUGGCCCACACAGCUCUCUGCAGCAGACCCUCUGCCCAGCCCAGCAUUUGCCAGGUUACUCAAACUGCAUUGUAUCUGGAGUUAUAUAGGAUGGAGAAACUCCUCUCCUUGUCACUAUCCUGUUGACUGCUGGUUCCACCAUCCAAUCAGCAACUGUGUAGCUUAAUGUUACUACACAAAAAGUAACAUGUAUCUUGGGGGUAUCAUUGGAUACCUGUAAAUCAUCCCUCACAGCUGUGGCUUGAGGAAACUUCACUGGGAGAUGAGCUGAUAGAGGGAUGGGGUUGAUGAGAUGACCAAUCUUCCCUCCAUGAUUCGCAGUGUACAACAGGAUCCAUAGGAAACAGGAUCAGCUGAAAGGGGGGAAAGCAACUGACUAUAUUCACCCCCAGCACAGCAUCCCUCCAGUGAUUAUUGGUGGUAUGACUGAGCCCUUUGGGAAGAGGGUUCCUCCUCGUUCUGUGUAAAUUAC